rnacentral:lncRNA from 1 species
AUGGAACACCUGACUACCAUUCAAAUCGCAAUGGGGGGGGGGGGAAUGUGCUUAGCUCCCACUAAAUUCUCCCUAUAUCAAAGCCACCCACAGAAGUCAGCAUCUCUCUGAGCUCAAAAGGUUAAAGGUAAUUCCUCGUUCGCACAGCUCGGGCGCCACCUAGCCGUAAUUAGGGCCCCGCACGCUCGGGCUGCCCAUGGGUUGGGGCUGCGUUGCCCUUGCCGAGCGGUAGGAGGAGAGGGGUUCGCUUGAUUCUGUUGCCGCUGGUCGUAUCCCCUGGCGCCAGCGGGCUCCUCUGGCUGCAGCAGCCGCCGAUAGGGCAGGACCCAGCGGGGAGCAGAGGCAGCAGUUCCCCUCGGCGCCUGGGCGUGUGCAGCCAGCGGCAGGUUCUGCGGCCAGGGCCAUGCGUACCGGACAGACAAAAGCCUGGGCGAGCGAGGCGUGAGGAAAGGCGCCCAGGGAAGGAGAGGGAGGCGCGUACGCACAGAUCCAUCUGGAAGGGGUUUUGCCUGCUGCCGCUGCCGCCGCCGCCGCGCCAGGCUUGCCGAGAUCACCGGGCGCCAGGGGAUGCCAGCUCGCCUCCUCUUCCAAUGUUUCACUGGGGCAAGUGGAAGAAAAGGAUGGGAGCGACCACUUCUUCUUCCAAGAGACCCGUGUUCGAUGAGAAGGAGGAUGAAAACUUCUUUAAAAACCAGUGAAGAUUGCUCGAGUGCAGAUACCACCAUCAAAGCCAGAAAAUCAGCCAUCACCCAACCCUUGCAAUCCACAACCCUAACUUUGCCUUCUCCACAGCACCCCAGUCACAUCUACCAUCCAACAACAGAUCCCUUCCUUCUCUGUUGCAAAUUUCCAGUAGUGAGUGAACAAUCUCAAUCUCUGUGUGUGUGUGUUUGUAUAUGUAUAGUUUAUUUGUUUGACAAUUGUUUUAAUUAUUUAUGAAAUAACUUUCUAAUGUGCUGGAGAAUGUUUUGUAGUAUAUUUUGCUACAAGGAUGUUUAGUAAUGUGGGACACUGAUAGUAAAGAGGCGCUGUCCAGUUAAAAUAUAGGCAUUAAAAAAGUAAGUUAAAAGUAGUUUCAGGUACUCAAAAGUCC